UGGGGAAUUUUCCGCAAUGGGCGAAAGCCUGACGGAGCAAUACCGCGUGCGGGAGGAAGCUUUUUGGAGUGUAAACCGCUUUUCUCAGGGAAGAUGAUGACGGUACCUGAGGAAUCAGCAUCGGCUAACUUCGUGCCAGCAGCCGCGGUAAUACGAGGGAUGCAAGCGUUAUCCGGAAUUAUUGGGCGUAAAGCGUUCGUAGGUGGUUAGAUAAGUCUGUCGUUAAAGAGUGGAGCUUAACUCCAUAAAGGCGAUGGAAACUGUUUGACUGGAGUAUGGUAGGGGUAAGAGGAAUUCCCAGUGUAGCGGUGAAAUGCGUAGAUAUUGGGAAGAACACCAGCGGCGAAAGCGUCUUACUGGGCCAUUACUGACACUGAGGGACGAAAGCUAGGGGAGCGAA
rnacentral:rRNA from 1 species